GUGCUCGCUUUGGCAACACACAUACUAAAAAUUGGAUCAAUAAGAAAAGAUUAGCGUGGUCCCUGCGCAAGGGUGGCUUGCAAAUUCAUAAAGUGAUCUACAUUUUC